GGUUAACCCUAGCUGGGCCUGGCACCCAGACCACUUAAUUAAGCUGAAGUGGUCUGGGUGCCUAGAGUGGUCCUUUAAGAGAGACUAAAGGUUAUUGGAACAUUUUCAAUUAUUUCUCGCCUGAAUGAAGAAACCAUAAAUGAGAAGCCCAAGUGCCAGCGUUUUACUCUUUCAGUGCGCCUAUCACUCAUAUUCCAGAGGUACACACUUUCCAGCCAGGAGGGUUAACCUACUUGCCUUGAUUUCUUGGCAUCACUAGGUAGUUUAAACACCAGUAUGUUAAUCUAUUUCAUUUACCUGGGGUGUUCCAACACGUAGGCCAAUUAGGCCCUAAAACAUUGGACAUACGUAUCCUUGCCUUAUUCAGGACAGCUCAUGGAAUAUAAUGUUAAAUGCAGCACAAUCAUUAAUUAUUAGACUUUUCACGUUUGGGAGGAUUGAAACUGAUGAGAAGGUGGCAACGUGCAGCUAGAUUGGUGUGGUCAUGUCAAUUAUUCUUUUGAAAAAUAAAUAAUAAUUUUAUGUGUAA